GUGAGCUGAGACUGUGCCACUGCACUCCAGCCUGGGCGACAGAGUGAGACUCUGUCAUAGAAAAAGAAAAAAAAACCUCCCAGACUGAAGAGAAGCAGCCCCGGGGCAUGCACCCUCAGCUUCCCCCUCCAAACUGGCUUCAUAUCUAACCCUCAUGGGAGGGAAUUUCUGGUCCCAAACAGCAUGACAGCACUUUGAACAUUCCAGUAUCUGUUUAUAAGGUAGUGUCCGCAGGGAUUUGUAAGGUGUCGCGCUGACUUCAGCGGCCUCCCCUAGCCAGCAGCACGAAGGGGUGAAAGGGUCCCAGGAGCCCCACCCCACCUACCGCCACCUCAUCCAGAGUCUGAGAGCUGCAGCCGGCACAGACCAGGCGCCCCUGGACUGAGGGUGCACAGAUUGACCUCUGGGGAAGUUUUCAUCCUGCAGAAAGGGGAGAAGAGAUAACUUGGCAAAUGAUUCUAAGAGGGAACCUGAGCAAAACUCUGGGCCUGUUUCCUCAUCUGUACUCACUCAAACGAAGGUUGCAAAGGCAUCAUUCAUUCACAAAAACCACUUAGUUAACCAUCUGCUAGACUUGGUCCCUGCUCUCAUGGAGGCCAUAGGCUACAAGAGGAGACUAACUCAGAAACAACGGUUUAAUUCUACAAAGGUAAAAUUGCACUUGUGAUAAGCAUUAAGAAAAAAAUAUAUAUUUAUUUUAUUUAUU